UAUGGCCAUAUUGCAUUGAAACACCAGUUCUCGUACGAUCACAGAAGUUAAGCAAUGUCGAGUCUGGUCAAUAACUAGAUGGGUAACCACUUGGGAACACUAGGUGCUGUAA